CCCUUAGAUGUUCUGGGCCGCACGCGCGCUACACUGUUCGACGCAGCGAGUCUUAACCUUGACCGAAAGGUUUGGGUAAUCUUCAGCAAAGUCGAACGUGAUGGGGAUCGAUCAUUGCAAUUAUUAAUCUUCAACGAGGAAUUCCUAGUAAGCGCGAGUCAUCAGCUCGUGCUGAUUACGUCCCUGCCCUUUGUACACACCGCCCGUCGCUCCUACCGAUUGAGUGCUCAGGUGAAUAAUUCGGACUGCAGCAAUGUUUGGAUCCCGAACGUUGCAGCGGAAAGUUUAGUGAACCUUAUCACUUAGAGGAAGGAGAAGUCGUAACA
rnacentral:rRNA from 1 species